UGAGGAAUAUUGGUCAAUGGGCGAGAGCCUGAACCAGCCAAGUAGCGUGCAGGAUGACGGCCCUAUGGGUUGUAAACUGCUUUUAUAAGGGAAUAAAGUGAGCCUCGUGAGGCUUUUUGCAUGUACCUUAUGAAUAAGGACCGGCUAAUUCCGUGCCAGCAGCCGCGGUAAUACGGAAGGUCCGGGCGUUAUCCGGAUUUAUUGGGUUUAAAGGGAGCGUAGGCCGGAGAUUAAGCGUGUUGUGAAAUGUAGACGCUCAACGUCUGCACUGCAGCGCGAACUGGUUUCCUUGAGUACGCACAAAGUGG
rnacentral:rRNA from 1 species